GGACGCUUAGCUCAGCGGUAGAGCGCUACAUUCACACUGUAGAGGCCGCAGGUUCGAUCCCCGCAGCGUCCACCA
rnacentral:tRNA from 1 species